rnacentral:rRNA from 1 species
GGAGGAAGGUGGGGACGACGUCAAGUCAUCAUGGCCCUUACGUGUAGGGCUACACACGUGCUACAAUGGCGCAUACAGAGUGCUGCGAACUUGCGAGAGUAAGCGAAUCACUUAAAGUGCGUCGUAGUCCGGAUUGGAGUCUGCAACUCGACUCCAUGAAGUCGGAAUCGCUAGUAAUCGCGAAUCAGAAUGUCGCGGUGAAUACGUUCCCGGGCCUUGUACACACCGCCCGU